UACGGAGGGUGCGAGCGUUGUCCGGAAUCACUGGGCGUAAAGGCGCGUAGGCGGCCUGAUAAGUAGGGGGUGAAAUCCUGCGGCUUAACCGCAGGGCUGCCUUCUAAACUGUCAGGCUAGAGCACGGUAGAGGCAGAUGGAAUUCCCGGUGUAGCGGUGGAAUGCGUAGAGAUCGGGAAGAACAUCAGUGGCGAAGGCGGUCUGCUGGGCCGUUGCUGACGCUGAGGCGCGACAGCGUGGGGAGCAAACGGG
rnacentral:rRNA from 1 species